GGGGGGGGGGGGGGGGGGGGGUGGGAGGGGGGAGGCGGACGGCAGCACAGUAAGCGGUGGGUCUGACGGGGGGGGAGUGGCGGGCGGGUGGUGAAGACAUCGUAAUCUACUGUUUCGUGGGGGAUAGCGUAGGGGGACUUACGCUAAUACCGCAUCCGACCUGCGCGUGCACGCCGGGGAUCUUCAGCCCUUUCGCGUUUGGAUGAGCUGAUGUCGGAUUAGCUCGUUGGCGGGGUAAAGGCCCACCAAGGCGACGAUCCGUAGCUGGUCUGAGAGGAGGAUCAGCCAAACUAGAACGAAGAAACGGUCCAGACUCCUACGGGAGGCAGCAGUGGGGAAUAUUGGACAAUGGGCGCAAGCCUGAUCCAGCCAUACCGCGUGGGUGAAGAAGGCCUUCGGGUUGUAAAGCCCUUUUGUUGGGAAAGAAAAGCAGCAGGUUAAUACCCCGCUGUUCUGACGGUACCCAAAGAAUAAGCACCGGCUAACUUCGUG
rnacentral:rRNA from 1 species